CCACCUCUGACCUGAUACAACUGAGCUCUUCAGCUGCAGUGUCUAGAUCAGUAGAUGGAAAUUAUCAAUAGCUCUAAUAAAGAAGGUGUACAAAGCUGCAGAAGAACAUUCAAUGGUUGAGGAACAUCAUGAGCAAAGAUUUAAAACCAACAUGAAAUGACAAGAAAGUCCAACUCCAUGAUUAAAGCUGAAGAAUCCUUAAAUGGAGAAAUGUCUGUUAUCCUCAAUAGGUUGAUUGGGGGAUUUUACUGCUUUGACUCCUUCAGCCACAAAAUGUAUGUAUUCAUUUGUUCAGUGAGUAUUAAGUG
rnacentral:lncRNA from 1 species